rnacentral:lncRNA from 1 species
CUCCUUCCCUCUCUUUCUUUCUUGCUCCGGGGCGUGACCAGCAAAGCAAUGGCGUUGGAGACCUGCUUCAGAGCCUGGGCUCUGCACGCGCCCCAGGCCGGCGGCGUCAGGGACAGGCCUAGCGGCAUCAGCAGCAGCAGCUACGCCCCGUCCAGGCCCAGAACCACCGCCGCCGCCGCCGUCGUCUCGCCGUCUCCUUCCGCCCUGCAGCAGCUGGCCCCCCGGCGGCCGCCGUCCCGCUUCGUCUGCCACUGCAAGAACGCCGUCGACGAAGGUACAAUCCAUCUCCCGAGGUGAAAUCAAUCUGUAAUCGCUUGAGUCCUGAGUGGUGGGGUGUUAAUGGCGGAUGUAGUG